AGUGAACGCUGGCGGUAGGCCUAACACAUGCAAGUCGAACGGCAGCACAGUAAGAGCUUGCUCUUACGGGUGGCGAGUGGCGGACGGGUGAGGAAUACAUCGGAAUCUACCUUUUCGUGGGGGAUAACGUAGGGAAAUUUACGCUAAUACCGCAUACGACCUACGGGUGAAAGCAGGGGAUCUUCGGACCUUGCGCGAUUGAAUGAGCCGAUGUCGGAUUAGCUAGUUGGCGGGGUAAAGGCCCACCAAGGCGACGAUCCGUAGCUGGUCUGAGAGGAUGAUCAGCCACACUGGAACUGAGACACGGUCCAGACUCCUACGGGAGGCAGCAGUGGGGAAUAUUGGACAAUGGGCGCAAGCCUGAUCCAGCCAUACCGCGUGGGUGAAGAAGGCCUUCGGGUUGUAAAGCCCUUUUGUUGGGAAAGAAAAGCAGCAGGUUAAUACCCCGCUGUUCUGACGGUACCCAAAGAAUAAGCACCGGCUAACUUCGUG
rnacentral:rRNA from 1 species